UUUUUCUUUUUGGUGAAGUUUCUGUUUUUUGCACUGAAAAUUUUUUAACUUCUGACCCAUUGUAUACUUUUCAGUGACCCCGAGACAGCAGAUCCUCUCCUGCUGCAAUGAGGGCCUCCUCAGGGCAGGCCGGCACAAUGGUACCUCAGCUAGCCUAGAUCAUGGUGCCACUUAGGAUAAUUAGCUAGGGCAAUUACACCAACUCUUUGAUUGGUAUGUGGCCAGGAAGUAAAAUGAAUAUAAUUGUUUUAUUUGACCUUCUUUUCUUGAUCUUCACCUAUAGUCAAAUCCUCUUCAGACAUCCAAAGAAAAGAGUACUGCAACCCCUUUCUUAGUAGAUUCUGACUCAAACAUCAAACACAAAACUAAUUUUUCUGUGACAGGCUUACACGUGGGUCACUCUCCUGUGAGUUUUACCUAUUUUGAAAAUUUCCUCGGGAUUUAUCUGAGUUAGCCCUGGGGUGGCUAAUCUUAUAGCAAGUAUUCAUAACCAAGCUGUUUUAUCUGUUUCUUCCACCUAGGUUUGCAUCUCAUUGUGUAAGCAUAUUUUGCAAUCAUUGUCUGUGACCUCUGGCUGGAUUUUUGGAAAGUCAGCUGGGCUCCUUCUCUGAUACAACCAUGUAGGAUUGUGCUGAAGUGUAAUGAACUGGGAGAUCUUGCAAGAGAUACGGAUCUUACUCCAGCUUUUAUUUUACUUGUUAUGGUAGUAAUUGUCUCAGGGUUGUUUGCUUGAUAAACAGAAGAAUGAGAUGACACAUGUGGUCUACAGACAAAAUAAUCAUGCCAGGUAGAUAUUUUGUCAUUACUAUCAAUAGUGGCAAUUAUGGAAUCCCUUUCACUUAAGCAGAAACAAGCACAUGUGCAUCCUUACAAAAGACACACAGCAACAUGAAAAGUUCAAAACAGAGGGCAAAUUAGACUUCAUAUAACAGUAGAGCCAGAAUACAACAACUUGCUUUUUCUUCUCUCCAAGGUUUUGUUUCAACAUUUGAAUGCUUCUGUUUAUGGUUUAUAAUAAAAAAGUUGUAUUGUUCAACAAACAAAUAGAAGAUGAUUAACAGAGAAUCCCUAUGAUCCUUCCUAAGGUUGGACAGUUUCUUACUGUACUCUCAUAUUUUCUGCCUUAAUGUCCUUUCAUAGCUUCUGGUAACAUAACAACGCUCAAGGAUAAGGGAGAGUUUUGGUAUUAACUUACUGCAGGAGUUAAGAUUCAAAGCAAGUUUUUGCUAACUUGUAAAGCUUGGACUGUAACUAGAUUCGUUUUUCAGUUCAUCAGUGAUUCACCCCACACAACCAAUCUUGUAUUUCGGUACAUAUCUUUGGGAAAGUGCCUGAAAGUGUCAAACAGUUACUAUGGUUACACCCACAAGUAUAUCAAGUCUACCUGGAAAUUACCAGCUAUGUGGUUAACUGAUCACCUCCAUGUACAAAUGCUCUGACCUGUGGAUACAAAGCAUUAUAAUGAUAUGCAAAAACUAUAUUUGCUGUGAAUAUAAAUAGAUGCACACAGGAUUAUAAAAAUCAUGGUUCCCGUUAAUGCUGUCAGACGGAGGACACAGCGACAGUCUUCUGGCUCCUAUCUGGCCUUCAGCCAAAUAAGAACACCACCUAGCUAUUGGAUUGUGCUAUCAAGAUGAGAAAGAAAGAUGUUUGAUGAGAUUCUCAAAACUGCAGAGCUGGUUGGCCUGUACUUACACAACAGGAUAAGGUAAUAUUUGUGGUAUUUCUUAGCAGCAGCUAAGAAUCAGGUGAAAUAUGACGAUUUUGAUUAGAUUUUAUCAGAGCUCUGGGACUUUUCAAGUGGGAAAAUCAAACAAGAGUAAGAUGAUUUUAAUAUAGGAGUAGAUACUUAUAAAAUUUGUACAUACUUUUGUGCAGAACUGACUUUGUCAGAAAUACUUUCCAGUACAGAAAAUUUUUCCAUUCUUGUAAAGAACUGCACAAAACUUCAAAGGUGAACAUUCUCUGCGUGGAGAAUUCACAGCAAAUAAUAGAUGACAGGUUUAGCAAGUCUUUCUUUCCUUUCUCUGCCUCAGAUACACAGGAUUGCACACACAAGCUUUAUUUCAGACCUCUCGUAAAUAUAGAGCAGAGGAAAUGUUCUCAUGAACCCCUGCAAAGAGAAGCCAUCAAACUUCACCUCAGGCUUAAAAUAGUAUCAUAUGCUUCAGGUUCUAUGAUGUAUUCCUACUUGCAAAUAUCCUUGUGCUGCCUGGACUUCAUAAAUCAGAUCAUAGGAUAAUAGAAAAUUGAGAUAGAAGGAGCCUGAUAAACACUCCAGUUCACCUGAUUUCCACUGCUGCAAGUUUUCCUCUGUUUCAUCAGCCAUGGUUUCAAAAGGGCCAAGUGAUGAGGCUUCUGCAAUAUCCCUUGUAAUUUUGAUUCUUUAACACACCUCAUUGUCUGGGAAUUUCCCCUUCUUAGACAGCUUGAAGUUUCUCUGCCUUGAUUUCAUCCAAUCAUUUCCUGCAACAUCCCCUCUGUAUGAGGCAUAAAUACUUAAUCUUUCACCUGAAGUUUGAAUAAUUUUAGCAAGAGUCAAAAGGAAUUGAGUAUUUGCAUGGAUAACAGUAGAAUCUACAAUCAUUCCAUCUAAAGAAAAUGUGGAUUUUAGAAAGGAGAUAAGAGGCUCUUUGAGAAUGUUGAUCACUCUUUUAUUAUCAGAAGUUAGAAAGGGAACUUCUUGAGCAUAGAUUGUGUCUUGUCUGAUCUCUCUGAUUUUCUUCAUCCCUCCCUGUCCCCUGCACCUGGUACAGUCUGUGUUCCAAAAUGGAGUACUUGGAGUAUUCUGAAAAUCUGGGGUCUGCGGGGAUUUCAAAGCCUGCCCCUGUCUGAUAAUUCCCACAUUUCUACGACAGAGAAAUUGGAAUUUCACAACAAUGGAAAACAGAUCCUGGAUGUUUGUCAGUGAUUAAUGGGAACCUCCAAUUGUUGUGGCAGGAUUCAUGGGAAGGAAAGGAGGGAAAAGCUUUUAAAAACCAUUCCACCUUUAUUUAGUCAUUUUCCCCAUGUAGACACAUGAACAUUUUUUGUUUUUCAUACCUGCUCUUAAAAGUCUGCACAAACAUUAAAACUUCAGCCUGGUGUCAGGUGAAAUCAGAAGUUUCACAUCCUCUUGCUCAGUACUCCAAGCACUAGAAACCUGUGGUGUCUUACCACACUUGACAUUCGUUCCCUCUCUCCACAGUCCCUAAUAAUAUCCUGGACAUGUACCUUCAUCUAUAUUCAUGAGAGCGCAGAUGCAGCCAAAUUAGUGGCAGCAAAGCACAUUUUACACUGCAGAAAAUACAAUCUGUCUUCUUUUUGAUUAUUUUUUUAUAUUAAAAAAGUUUUAUUAAAAAAAAAAUCAGAGAGUAAGAUUUAAAUUCAGCACCACCCGUUGCAAGAGUCUGUUUAAAAA
rnacentral:lncRNA from 1 species